ACACUCGAUUAUUUUGGUCUUUAGUGUUCUAGGCGCCAACUUUCAAGCUGUCCGGGUCUUGGUUUUUCAAGAACGGCUACUCCUGGCAAAUAAUGUCUGAAAUUAAUAUUCGUGAGAAUCUCCGCGCGGCCGAAAUUAAAGAACUGAAACAGCUGCAGCAGGAACUUCUGGCGUUACGAAGAGUACGGUCAUCUCUGCACGCAUUUGAGCGUAUGGUGGGGUGUUUAAGCCAGAAUGUUCAACUGGCCAUUAAGAAUGGAGAUACGUUAGCAGAUCUUAACCAAGGCUGGAACGUUUUCUUCACUGGGAAAAAAUGACCAGUGAAUUCACUACCACAAGACCUCCACCCAUAUACAGUAUUUCAAGAAACAAAGAAUGCAGUGAAUCUUCUUACAAGCUUAUUUAUAUUAAAACAUGAAAAUACGCAAUUCAUCAUA